UUCUUUUUUUUUAACCUAAAAUCCCCACUUCCUCUUAUCGCAAGAAAAUUAUUUAGAUUAUUAAAGUAUGUGUAGUACCUUUUGCAUCAUGGUUAUACAAGAAUAAAAAUAAUUUUAAAUCCCGAAAUAUAAUGAGCUGUUAUACUCUUGUUCAGAACCCAUUUUUUGAUAUCGCAAUAUCUUAAACAAAGAAUAUAUCAGAGGCUACAUACCUAUCGCAUUAUUUUAUAGCUGGUUUUCCCCUCAUCCAGUUUUAGCUGAAUUAAUUGAAAAAAAAAACUUUAUCUUAUCAAUUCUUUAUUUCAAUUGAGGACAAGCUCUAUUGACUAUUUUAUUAUUUCUAAAAAUAAUACCCUAAGUAGGCCUAAAAUCAGCCACCAUCUAUCUCGUUGCAGAGUUAUUUUAAUAUUAAUUUCAAAAUAAUACCUUUAAAGGAAUAAGUUUAUAAAUCUUCAUAUACUUAACUUAUGUAUAAAUUAGUAUUUUUUUUGUAUUUCCAUAAAUUUCUCUAAUUAAUAAAUAAGGAACUAGGCAAAUUUGAUUUCGCCUGUUUACCAAAAACAUCGCCUAUUGAUCUAUAAUAAUAGGUAAACCCUGCCCAGUGAUACGUUUAACGGCCGCGGUAUUCUGACCGUGCAAAGGUAGCAUAAUCAUUUGCCUCUUAAUUAGAGGCUAGUAUGAAUGGGUAAACGAAAGUCAAGCUGUCUCAUUUAUUUUUAUAUAAAUUAAUCUUUAGGUGAAGAAGCCUAAAUAAAAUUAAAAGACAAGAAGACCCUGUCGAGCUUUAUUUUUCAAUUAAACUCCAUUUUAUAUAUCCUUUAAUUUUAAAUUUUGUUGGGGCGACAAAGGAACUAUCUAUCUUCCUUAAUAUAUAAAGACCUCAUUUCUUCCUAAUGACCCAUUUUAUGAUCGUAGAAAAAAGCUACCGCAGGGAUAACAGGCUAAUCCUCCACAAGAGCCCAAAUCUAAUGGAGGGAUUGGCACCUCGAUGUUGGCUUAGGACCUCUUUUAAAUGCAACAGUUUAAAAAGAAGGUUUGUUCAACCUUUAAUCUCCUACAUGAGCUGAGUUCAGACCGGCGUAAGCCAGGUCAGAUUCUAUCUUUAAUUCAAACUAAGUCUUUUAGUACGAAAGGACCAAAGACUUAAAAAUCAUUUUUCUCCCGAUUCCAUAUAAAGAAUUUUAAAUUACU
rnacentral:rRNA from 1 species